UUCCUCUGGCCAGGAGGGAUUUUAAAGGUGUUUACCCUUCCCUUUAUAUUUAUGACACCUUCUAUUCUGUUCCCAUGUCAGCACAGAGUGAUGGACUAGUUGUUCCAGGGCAGAAGGCUGGCCGCAAACACUGCACCUUUUGCAUGACUCAGAUGUCAUUGCCAGACCAGAGUACUUGCUGUGUCUCAGAAGGACACUGCUGUGGCAGUGCACAGCUUGUGUUGCCUUAUCCCAGAGGGUAUGAAAGGAAUUGGAAUCCCUGCUUUGACUUCCUUCUUGAGGAGCCACAUAAGACAAGUAGUGUUGCUGAGGAAAACCCAGCGAAGUCUGUGCCUCAGAGUGCUUUGGCUCUUUCCAUGAAGAGGCCUAAGGGGAGAUCAAAGGAUAGAUCUGAGUCCAGUCCAACGCCUUCAGAGAAGCUCCCGAGAGCCAGGGGUCCAGUGAGCUUAGAGUUUCCAAGAUCAUAAUGAAGAAAAAAGAAGAAGAAUGGAAGUGGUAGCAGUUCAGCACAGUGCAAAUCAUCUAAUCCAAAGGAGCUGGGACAGUUAACACCUUGGUAUUAAUGCCAUUUUUUUAGAUGAUGACCAAUCUGAUUGUGGUUCUCUUCCAGGUGAAGAGAAGGACGAACUUCUUGGCAGGGAUAAUGACUCUGAGCAUCUCCUUCAACUUGAUGCAGAAGUAUUUAUAUCACCGUUAUCUCUUGUGAAUUUCAAAAGUUUUCAGAACUUCUUAUAAGGGUGCUGAAGCUUUUAAUCUGGAAAUACCAAUAGUUCUACAGAGGUCAUAUUUGCUCUUUGACAUACUGGAGAAAAAACGAAAGGGAAGAAUGGCUCGUCCAAUAAAUAUAGCUCUGCUUGAACAGUUAGAGACCUUUGGCUCAUUCUAGCAUUGUCUUGCUGUAUCCAAAAAGGAGAAGAGAACCAAUCAUGUCCAUACAAAUGGUUCUGAGUAUUUUUACAAUACUCUAACCCCAGGAUUAUUGGCGGUAUCAACAGGGAGUGAAGCAUGUUUGGUCCAAAAAGUCUUUUUGAUUUGCACCUUCUGAAAAAGACGGCAAGUGUAUUCUCAGUUAUCAAGCUCUACUUGAUAGAUAUGUUUUUAACCCUGUAUCAGUGAUGAACCUUUUUUGCAACGCAUGACAUGAAAUUACAAGGGAAAUACUCACUUUCAUGUGGCAUGCUGGAGGUGCAAAGGUCAGUGGCACUUCUGCUAUGUUAAAUUUCAGAAUAGAGCUUUUCUAUGCUCUUAUUUUUAUUUUACAGCAUCACACAUGAUGAACUCCAUACCAUUCACCAAUCAGUUCCUGAUGUCUGCCUUUAAAUUCAUUUGAGAACAAUUAUUCAGAAGAGUACAUUGAAACAAAGGUCAACAAGAACACUGUUGCUUUUUUUUCAUAGAAUGAAAAAAAUCAGACCAUUUGUUCCAAGCAUGCAAAACUUUGUUUGUGGGAAUGGAUUGAUUGUUUAAUUCAGUUCUGUUUCUUUCUUUGUUUUCUUGUUGGAACUGAGGUCAACAGCCUUGGUUUUCUUGGGGUCAUUUCCAAGGACCUCAGCCAUCUCAUUCUUAAGUCUGUCCAUAUCUACUCACUUAAGAUCUGUAAUCUUCAUAUCUGACCAUAUUUUCUAGCUAUUGAAACUCAGGAUACCGUCCUGAAAAGAUUUCUAGUGAUUUCUUGAUUGUAUUAGAAUUUGGUAUGCUACUUUGAUGUUACUACCAUUGUCCGUGGAAGUAGAUUCUUCAUAAAUAUUUCUUAUGAAUACUUCUUCAGCGAAGGAUAGGGAAGGUGAAUUUAGCAAUGCUCAAAGACAGUCUAGGACUCCUGUCAUCCUGCCAUCAGGGAUCCAACACAGAGAUCUUUAGUCUUGGCAUGUGCAAUUAUUAAAAGAUCUCUGAGAAGACUAAGCUAAAUAUUUCCUUAACGUAAUUUUUGUGCAAAUAAAUCUGCUGAAGCCACCUUUUGAGUUUUUUGCAGAAUGUUCUCCUUUCCACCAGAGCCUGGAGACAUUUUUAGAGGCAAUCACUUCUGCAAAGAAGAGUCUGAGAGAUACAAGACCUGAGGACUGGUUCCCAGUGUUUCAUAAGAAAAUGCUGUAAAUUCUUCACUAAGGCCCUGAUUCAGCAAAGCACUUAUAUAUGUGCUUAAAUCCCAUUUACUUCAUUGAGGGUUAAGCACAUGCUUAAGUACUUUGCUGAAUCAAGGCCUAUGAUGGUUUCGUAUGUUCAUUUACAACACUCUAUAAACGUGCUAAUAGUUUUUCAGAAGUCUGACAUACUACCCUGGGAGGCUAGAUUACAUGGUGUGGAUGAGGAAAGAGAGUGCAUUUGUAGAACAAACAUAUUUGCCCAUCUUGGAUACAGUCUGUGGCUUGUGGGGAUAGAUCUAAGGGAAGUCCACCUGUACUCAGAGCGAGUCUCUAAAUGAGUGAGACUGUGUAUUAAAUCUUGCUAUGGCCUUAACUCCAAACUUGAGGAUGCCGAGCCAUAUUCUGUUAGGUCUCAAGCAAAUUUUACCGCAUACUUGACAUAUGACUGUCACAGAAAUAUAUAAUGCUGAUAUUUGGAGUUCUGUUCAGUUUUUUUGCACAUUUGUUCACUUAAUUUAGUUAUUUGAUAUGAUGCCCAGUACAGAAGAGCUGUCUUGCCAUUUUUAUUUAACAAAUACUCCUCAGAACCACCUUCUUUAUAAUUUAUUACUACUUGAUAAUCUUUCAGUGCAGAUACGUCUGAAGAACUUUGGUUCUUUGAGAUAAUUGCCUAUAUAGAUCCGCAUUCCCACUCUGCUUGCUCAUGUAGUCAGAAAAGAAACUUUAUAUAUCCUCACUUCUGAGUGUCACAAGGCCUAAAAUAGAGUAUGGAGCUACAGUUUCCCCUUUGGCUGUUAGCAAUAUCAUCAGUGUUGGCGGAGAAACACAGAACCGUGAACUCGGGCUUUGGCAGGUCAGUGAAAGAGAUUUUAUUCCAAGUUGCAGUCAUUUGUAAAUUGUAAUUUAACACACAUUCUCUUACUAAUUUAGACCUUAAACAAUUACUUUCUUUUAAUCUUUUCAGCUAGCUUUCAAUACUACACAAGUCCCCCUAUGUGUACUGUUUGAGACAUGAAAAUUAUCUAUUAAAGAUGAUUGGAGGGUGAGGGAGGGAAAAUAAUUUGUGCCUUUUGUAGAUCCUGUAUGAUGUACAAAGAAUGCAUGAAAGGAAUAGCAAGUCUUGUCUUCCUUAUUUUCACAGGACUCAUUGGAAAUCUAAGAUUUGUACUGAGCUUUCUCAACACUUAAUCAAAGGACUAGGAGUGACAAUGAAGCUUUAACAAAUAAUUCUGUUCUUCUGUUUGAACUUAAUUUUUUUAAAAAUUCUUUAUUAGGGCUGUUCAAAACAUUUCCAUCAACGGUUUUCAAGGGAAAAUUGGGUUUUCAGUUAAACAAAAAAAUGUAUGGAAAGUGUCUGCCUUCCUUGAAAAUAUUUGAAUUUUUGUCCAAAACCCAAAUUUUUUGGCAGAAAACCAGAAAAUAUUUUCAGGUUUUGGCAGCUUUCAGUUGCAGAAAAAUGUUCGGUUUCUGUUGCAGAAAAUUCAGGAAAAAAUCAUUCUUAUUGAAAUGGAAAUUUCUUACACCAGUGAGGGAAUCCCAUUUUCUGACCAGUGUUAAAAUUUACAGUGUGAAUAAAAAUCUCCUGCCCUAUGAACCAGGUUUUUCCUGCUUGAUAUCGUGAUAUACUAGCUCUUCAGAGCUCCAUAGUGUCUCCCAGGAAAAGAAAGGUAGACAAGAUCUGACAUCAAGAAAAGCACCUCCAAAAAUCCUCCCUCGGAAGUGUUUCAUUGCAUGUGUUAAAAUUAAUGUUUGUUCAAGAGAGGUUCAGACAAACUUGCAUUUAAAUAACAUAGCAUAGUGACAAAAAUGAAACAUCUUGAGAAAUGACUUCAAAUUUCUUGGCUUUUGCCAGGUUUGUCAUAGCCUUGUGUUUUGGGCGGUAAUUUUUUUUUCUGUAGAAUUGUUCUUCCUAGUACACUU